rfam:Oryza glumipatula chromosome 5, whole genome shotgun sequence.
AAAAAGACAAACCUGAUUUCCGUAUCUAACAUUUGACCAUCCGUCUUAUCUGAAAAAAAUAUAAAAAAAAUUAAAAAUAUAAGUCACGUAUAAAGUAUUAAUUAUGUUUUAUUAUCUAACAACAAUAAAAAUACUAAUUAUAAAAAAAUUUCAUAUAAGACGGACAGUCAAACGUUAGCACGGAAACAUAAGGUUUGUUUUUAUU